UUGGGUACAAAAUCUCUUCAACCACGAUUUGCAAAGAAACUGGAUCUCCGACAUUGCAAGGUUUGAAGCCUGAUGCCUCACUUUAGGACUUUGUAAUAUCAAGUUCAAGUCCUUAAUUUCAACGUGUGGAUGUUAUUUGUAUUAAGGUUCCUCUUGUAUGCUUCGUUGAUAUUAAGAUGUGAGCGUCGUCACGCGACGCUUGGAGCUACUGCGGUUUUAAAACUGCAUGACUGAUCAAAUAAUUGCCAUGAGGGUUCACUUUCCUACUGAACGUUUUUGAAACUGUUUAGAUAAAAGCUUUUUACACUGAAGCAGUGAAAUUCAGAUUUUUUUAAUACUGUUUUGGAAUUAACCUCCAUAUUUAGCGAUAUAAACAAUUGGCAAUUGAUUACAAAUAACAUGAGGAAGCCUUAUGAAACAUUUGAGAUCCACAUUCAUCAAAAUGAUGCAGACGUCACGUCACCCUGUUGUGACCCCAGAAGAGAUGUUAGUUAUUCAUUGUUGUACAGAUGCAGGGCCUAAAAUAGUUUCAGCAGCACUGAAACUAUAAUAAGCCCAGUUGUCAACUCAGCAAUCAGUCCUUUUUCAUAUAUUCUGUUUGAUCCUAACACAAUAUUUGUCCCUUUUGCUUCUGUCAUGUCGAGGUAUGAGAUUGGUCUGACUCACUAGCAAGAGAGGGGGCAUAACAUCCAUCAUAUCACAUGAUCAACCCCACCUAAACCCAACCCAAACAUUCCACAUUUUUGUGCGCUCAUCCAGAGAUUUACAGUAGAAACAGAUGUGUCACAUGAAUCAUCAAGCUACUAACUGUAUAUCUUACCUCUAUAUCUAUAUAUAGAUAUUGAUAUAUCUAUACACACACACCACACAUAUGCCAAGAGACACUCCAACUUAACAGUGUCAGUAUUAAUCAGAUCAUAUGAGGAUAACAAACCAACAGAACAGACAUUUUAAAACCAUGAAUACCUUUGUCUUACUUUAUUACUUUGUCCCUAUUGGAAUUAUUGCUUGUUUCUUAAGUUCCUACCCUAUUGAACCUAUUGUUUAUCCGUAUGACCUGGUGGUGCAACCACCGGUAGACCAUGUCUUCCUAAAGCCGACUCCUAGUCAUGUUUAUCAUAUCUGAAACAUGUGUGUAUACUUGUGCCCUGGUGCAUGUACUCUAUGUACUUGGAUGACUGUGCGUGGACCAAUUUUGUAACCGUUGUACAAAGCCUUGUUAAGUUAACCUGUGUACAUUAUACAUAAUAUAUUAAAUUAUUUGUUUUUGAAACCAACGUGUUUGUUCCUUUCGCCACAGAGUAAGUGCGAUCAUUCAAUCAAAAUGUCUGUCAAAUUCACAGAGGCUUUCUCACGUGAUAACACUGUCGCUCAUAACAAUAGUUAUUAGUUGCAUCUGCUUUUGUUUCACUGCAUGGAAUGUUCAAAGUUCGAAGUUCAAAAAUAGUUUAUUGUCCCCCAAUGGGGGACAAUAUGUCUUCAAUAUAGUGUCUUCACUAAGCCUAACCCUCCCCAUAUACAUUAAACAAGCAGACCCAUAAAUUGUUAUUAGUGACACAUGUGUUUGUUCUGCGACGCCACUGUGAAAAUGGUCUAUAAUACAUAUAUAUCCUGAUGAUGAAUAGAUUGUUGUAAUAAGUUUAGUUUGACACACCAAGGCACUUUGGCAGGUGGUUCUGGAAUCGGUGCAUUUUGUGGCGAUUCACUAGUGUUGGGCCAGUGACUCGUUGGGGGAACGAGCUACACCUGAGCAACCCAUGCCAGGGGCUAUAGAUUGGGCCUGGCUGCAGGUCUUCGGUCAGUUCUGUGUUGGAGCUGAAAACACCUUUAAAUGUCUCUUCAUGAAAGCACACCGGUGAGUAUUCUAUGUUGCUGUGGGUUUUUAGUGUGGGAUUUUAUAUUUUCCUAUUUAAUUAUGAUAACUUUGUGGUCGUGGUGUAUGCUAACCGCAUUACUAGCACAAACCUAUUCCCCAUGUCGCUUUUCCGAAUCUGUAAGGGCUCAGUGAGCAACUCAUUUAUUUAGAAUAUUAACGAAACUCUUAACAGGAACAACUUUUCCAUGAGUAGAAGGAUUGGGAUAUAGUAGUGCAAUAUAUCAUAUGGCUCCCUAAUUCAUCACCUUUUUGAUUAAAAGCAAAAACAUAUAAACACAAAGGGGUAUAUAUUAUAUUCUUGCUGGGAUAUCUGUUUUAUUGUUUCCAUUGUCGUCCAAACUUCAAAUACAGAUCUGCAAUCGUCACUUCAUCACAAUCAGAACCUAUGUACAAUCAAUUAAGAAUAAUUUAAUAACAGGUUUUUUAAAGUUGUGUUUUACAAGGUGAGACAAAUCCUGAAACAUCUCUUCACAUAAUUUCCAGUGUGUCCACUAAAUCCAUUCCCUUGACUCUUCCUACUGCUGAGUUUGCGCAAAAGACCCAAGUUCCUUCUCUAUCUGAACACACCACUCACACCAUUGCACUGAAAAGGGUCACUGCGGUCUGGGCAGCACAGUACGUCCGACCCCUGGGGGCCCUUCAGGAGGACACGCAGCCUCUCUUCUGGGCCCUCCGCAGCAGCAUCACGAGGCCCUGGGCCACCAGGGGCCACAUGAGCAGGAGUAGCAGGGUGUGGCCCGACACGUCGAACGGCCACCAUUUCUCCCCCUGGAACGAUCCCCGCCGCAGGGCCACCACGAUCUGCUGCUGCAGCUGGGCGUCGUGCAGCCGCUCAGCCCCGCCCUCGGGACCGCCCCUGCCGGCCCCGCCGCCCCCACCGCCCAUAUUAGGAGCCCCACGCCCGGGAGGUCUGGGGCUGCCCGGAGGAGCGCCACCUGUGAGGAAAGAAUAUACUGAUGUAAGAAUAAGACGAGCCUGGGGUUUAUACCAGUGGGUUGGCUGACAGUUCUGGUGACUCUGGUGACUCUGGGACCCCGGGGCCUGUCUCUAGAGAGGGAGCAGCCAGAUCUUCAGCCUCCUCAUGUCCCUCAUCUUCAUCUUCACUCAUCUUCAUGUCUUCUGGGUAUUUCACCGGCCUGCUGCCAUUCACACCUGACACAAGAGGAUCAAACAUCACAUACAUGACCCACAAGCACAUUCACUGUCUAAGUGCAUUUGCCUUAUUAUUUGAAGUGACAAUCUCCAACAUUUUCAUGUAAAUAAAUCGCAGAAAGAGGCAACAUAAUUGUGAUUGCGCCUAAGGCCUGUGGAUGAAACUCCUUGCAUUGGAGGUAAUAUGGAUUAUGAACUGUGUGCGAGU